rnacentral:rRNA from 1 species
UACGAAGGGGGCGAGCGUUGUUCGGAAUUACUGGGCGUAAAGGGCGCGUAGGCGGCGACCCAAGUCAGAUGUAAAAGUCCUGGGCUUAACCUGGGGACUGCAUUUGAUACUGGGUUGCUUGAAUUCGGGAGAGGAUAGCGGAAUUCCCAGUGUAGAGGUGAAAUUCGUAGAUAUUGGGAAGAACACCGGUGGCGAAGGCGGCUAUCUGGACCGACAUUGACGCUGAGGCGCGAAAGCGUGGGGAGCAAACAGG